AUUGAACGCUGGCGGCAUGCUUUACACAUGCAAGUCGAACGGUAACAGGUUAAGCUGACGAGUGGCGAACGGGUGAGUAAUGCAUCGAAACGUGCCCGAUCGUGGGGGAUAACGCAGCGAAAGCUGCGCUAAUACCGCAUACGAUCUGAGGAUGAAAGCGGGGGACCGUAAGGCCUCGCGCGAUCGGAGCGGCCGAUGUCAGAUUAGGUAGUUGGUGGGGUAAAGGCCCACCAAGCCGACGAUCUGUAGCUGGUCUGAGGGGACGACCAGCCAGACUGGGACUGAGACACGGCCCAGACUCCGACGGGAGGCAGCAGUGGGAAUUUUGGACAAUGGGCGAAAGCCUGAUCCAGCAAUGCCGCGUGCAGGAAGAAGGCCUUCGGGUUGUAAACUGCUUUUGUACGGAGCGAAAAGGUCCUUUCUAAUACAAGGGGCUCAUGACGGUACCGUAAGAAUAAGCACCGGCUAACUACGUGCCAGCAGCCGCCGCAGUAA
rnacentral:rRNA from 1 species